AUAGCAGACAUAAAUGCUACCCCUCUCCCUGUCUCCCUUUCUGGGGGGGUGGGGCAUGGCUGCGGGUGUAGCAGACGGAUGGGCGAGUGGGGCUGACGUGUGGCGAGCGGUGGGAGCCCUUGUGGCUGUCACCCUGGCCACCGCAGCCCGGCCGCCCGUCCAGGUGCUGAGCCCGUGGCCCGCUGCCCACCACCUAGACUCUGGCCCACGCUGCCGCGCGGGGCGUUGCCUUGUGUUGCUUUUGCAGGGCAAGACAGCGUCCAGGGCAUGGUACGAUGUGGUGCCCCCAGCCCGCGGUAACCCUUCCUCAAGGCCUCUCUCCGGAGUUGGCUGGAAGGGUUACGGCCAGGGCGUGCCGGCUGGCUGCCAUCUCGGUGGCAAGCCCACGGUUCCCAGUCCAUGCGCCCACAGGCAUCUGGGGACGCGUUGUGCUCGGUCCGUGCGGCUGCUUCCAGGGGUGCCCAGCCUCCGCCCUGGUGAUGGUCUCGCCCCUUCCCGCUCGGCUUUCCAUCUUUACCGCCUCGGCGGUGGAAGGAGCUGCCACACGGGGAGGGCGGGGCCAUCGACCUCCACCAACCAACUGAGCAGCAAACCCGCAGCUUGAAGCAGCAGCCCUUGUGGUCGCUGACUUAACCCCUGAGCAACACUACACAAUGGAUUUCUCGGCUCCCAUAACGAUGAAGAACGCAGCAAAGCGCGAUAGGUAGUGUGAAUUGCAGAAUUCCGCGAAUCAUCGAAUCUUUGAACGCAUAUUGCGCCUGAGCCUCCUGGCUUGGGCAUGUCUGCCUCAGCGUCGGUUUAAUCUCUUGCCCCGCACCCCCACAGGCUUGGCCUGGCUGGGGGUAGGAGCAGCCUUGGCCCCUGCCGGGCUCCCUGGUGAGCCUGGCACCGGCUGAUGAUCGAAGGGCCUGCCCCAUCCCGCGCCUGUGUUGUGCGGCAUGCAAAGCGGUGCCCGGCUUCAAUGGUCUGGUGGCAUCUCUGCCUCACCCCCAACUGAAUGCCGGUGCAACCCCAUCCAUGCACGCACAUGGGCACCUACGGCGACGGGAGUCGUGGCCAGCUGCUGACCCUUCUCACAGGAGGGGCGGCUGGUGGUCAUGCCUGGUGGCAUGGCACGGGCCUGGGGUCGGCGUCCGGGUUGCCCUUCUGCAAUGGAAAGGCACCCGUCGCAGCCCCCCUGCCCCGCCCCCAACCUCUAAACCUCGACCUGAGUUCAGGCAGGGCCACCCGC
rnacentral:rRNA from 1 species